rnacentral:rRNA from 1 species
GGGGCGCAGCAGGCGAGAAACCUUAGCAAUGUGCGAAAGCACGACUGGGUCAGUCCGAGUGAUUCCUGAUAAAGGAGUCUUUUGCCUGUCCUAAAAGCACAGGUGAAUAAGGGGUGGGCAAGUCUGGUGUCAGCCGCCGCGGUAAUACCAGCACCUCGAGUGGUCAGGACGUUUAUUGGGCCUAAAGCAUCCGUAGCCGGCUCUGCAAGUCUUCGGUUAAAUCCACCUGCUCAACAGAUGGGCCGCUGGAGAUACUACAGAGCUAGGGAGUGGGAGAGGCAGACGGUAUUCAGUGGGUAGGGGUAAAAUCCUCUGAUCCAUUGAGGACCACCAGUGGCGAAGGCGGUCUGCCAGAACACGUUCGACGGUGAGGGAUGAAAGCUGGGGGAGCAAACCGGAUUAGAUACCCGGGUAGUCCCAGCUGUAAACGAUGCAAACUUCGGUGAUGCAUUGGCUUAUGGCCAAUGCAGUGCCGCAGGGAAGCCGUUAAGUUUGCCGCC